rnacentral:rRNA from 1 species
UACGUAGGGGGCAAGCGUUGUCCGGAUUUAUUGGGCGUAAAGCGCUCGCAGGUGGUUUGUCGCGUCGUGCGUGAAAGACCCCGGCUCAACUGGGGAGGGUCGUGCGAUACGGGCGAACUGGAGGCCAGUAGGGGGAUGCGGAAUUCCGGGUGUAGUGGUGGAAUGCGUAGAGAUCCGGAGGAACACCAGCGGCGAAGGCGGCAUCCUGGACUGGUCCUGACACUCAGGAGCGAAAGCGUGGGGAGCGAACAGG